CUGGCAGUGCUCAGAGGGCCGUAUGGGAUGUCGGGGACUGAACGCAGUUUGGCGUGCCCUACUCUCUGAAGUAUCACCCGGGUGGUCCCCAUCUGUGCCAGGAUGUUUAUGGGACACGGAGGCACGGCAGUUGAAUGAACAUCUCCGAAUGCAGCAGGUAUGUGUACCUGGGUCGAGAAUUCAACAUGAGGAACGACUUAGCGCAGGAGGAAGAGAGCAGUGUGGAACGCCUUCAAGAGCAUUGAAGAAGUUGUUAAGAGGACAAAGAACCUCUGGCUCCAGGCACAUAUUUUCGACUCCACUGUUCUUCCUGCACUAACAUACGCCUCAGAGACCUGGGCCCUAUGAAAACAGGAUGAGAACGCUAUUCGGGUAUCCCAAAGAGGAAUUAAAAGAGCUAUGCUUGGAAUAUCAUGUUUCACUCAAGUGAGAAAAGGAAUCUGGAGUUCCGACCUCCGUUGAUGAUCAAGAAUCAGGGAUGCUGUCUCAUUUGCCAAGGUGUCGAAAAUCAGAUGGGCCCAGACACGUAAUGUGAUUCAGAGAUGACUGCUUGACUAGAGCUGUUACCGACUGGAUUCCAAAGGAUGUCAAAAGAUUGUGUGGCCGUCCACCUACAAGAUGGUCAGACUUCAUCAAAAUCCUGAAUGAACGGUUUGAGGUUCUUCAUGUUCCUGGAGCGAGCAGAUAUCAUUGGGCUACACUAGCAUGCGACAGGGAUGAAUGGAGACGUUACUGGCACCUGCCUGAGCAAAUCAGAGAUCAGUGGGAUGACAAGUGAUAUAAGUGACAAGUGCAUCGUAACCGUAUCUACGUUUCAGGUCAGCCUCGUUGUAAACCAACAUGUGUGCUCCCUUCGUUCUAGGAUACCUGCCCCUCUUCCUUUGGUACCAAUAAAUUGUUUGAUUUUGUUUA